rnacentral:rRNA from 1 species
GGUUAAGCGACUAAGCGUACACGGUGGAUGCCCUGGCAGUCAGAGGCGAUGAAGGACGUGCUAAUCUGCGAUAAGCGUCGGUAAGGUGAUAUGAACCGUUAUAACCGGCGAUUUCCGAAUGGGGAAACCCAGUGUGUUUCGACACACUAUCAUUAACUGAAUCCAUAGGUUAAUGAGGCGAACCGGGGGAACUGAAACAUCUAAGUACCCCGAGGAAAAGAAAUCAACCGAGAUUCCCCCAGUAGCGGCGAGCGAACGGGGAGCAGCCCAGAGCCUGAAUCAGUGUGUGUGUUAGUGGAAGCGUCUGGAAAGGCGCGCGAUACAGGGUGACAGCCCCGUACACAAAAAUGCACAUACUGUGAGCUCGAUGAGUAGGGCGGGACACGUGGUAUCCUGUCUGAAUAUGGGGGGACCAUCCUCCAAGGCUAAAUACUCCUGACUGACCGAUAGUGAACCAGUACCGUGAGGGAAAGGCGAAAAGAACCCCGGCGAGGGGAGUGAAAAAGAACCUGAAACCGUGUACGUACAAGCAGUGGGAGCACGCUUAGGCGUGUGACUGCGUACCUUUUGUAUAAUGGGUCAGCGACUUAUAUUCUGUAGCAAGGUUAACCGAAUAGGGGAGCCGAAGGGAAACCGAGUCUUAACUGGGCGUUAAGUUGCAGGGUAUAGACCCGAAACCCGGUGAUCUAGCCAUGGGCAGGUUGAAGGUUGGGUAACACUAACUGGAGGACCGAACCGACUAAUGUUGAAAAAUUAGCGGAUGACUUGUGGCUGGGGGUGAAAGGCCAAUCAAACCGGGAGAUAGCUGGUUCUCCCCGAAAGCUAUUUAGGUAGCGCCUCGUGAAUUCAUCUCCGGGGGUAGAGCACUGUUUCGGCAAGGGGGUCAUCCCGACUUACCAACCCGAUGCAAACUGCGAAUACCGGAGAAUGUUAUCACGGGAGACACACGGCGGGUGCUAACGUCCGUCGUGAAGAGGGAAACAACCCAGACCGCCAGCUAAGGUCCCAAAGUCAUGGUUAAGUGGGAAACGAUGUGGGAAGGCCCAGACAGCCAGGAUGUUGGCUUAGAAGCAGCCAUCAUUUAAAGAAAGCGUAAUAGCUCACUGGUCGAGUCGGCCUGCGCGGAAGAUGUAACGGGGCUAAACCAUGCACCGAAGCUGCGGCAGCGACGCUUAUGCGUUGUUGGGUAGGGGAGCGUUCUGUAAGCCUGUGAAGGUGUGCUGUGAGGCAUGCUGGAGGUAUCAGAAGUGCGAAUGCUGACAUAAGUAACGAUAAAGCGGGUGAAAAGCCCGCUCGCCGGAAGACCAAGGGUUCCUGUCCAACGUUAAUCGGGGCAGGGUGAGUCGACCCCUAAGGCGAGGCCGAAAGGCGUAGUCGAUGGGAAACAGGUUAAUAUUCCUGUACUUGGUGUUACUGCGAAGGGGGGACGGAGAAGGCUAUGUUGGCCGGGCGACGGUUGUCCCGGUUUAAGCGUGUAGGCUGGUUUUCCAGGCAAAUCCGGAAAAUCAAGGCUGAGGCGUGAUGACGAGGCACUACGGUGCUGAAGCAACAAAUGCCCUGCUUCCAGGAAAAGCCUCUAAGCAUCAGGUAACAUCAAAUCGUACCCCAAACCGACACAGGUGGUCAGGUAGAGAAUACCAAGGCGCUUGAGAGAACUCGGGUGAAGGAACUAGGCAAAAUGGUGCCGUAACUUCGGGAGAAGGCACGCUGAUAUGUAGGUGAAGUCCCUCGCGGAUGGAGCUGAAAUCAGUCGAAGAUACCAGCUGGCUGCAACUGUUUAUUAAAAACACAGCACUGUGCAAACACGAAAGUGGACGUAUACGGUGUGACGCCUGCCCGGUGCCGGAAGGUUAAUUGAUGGGGUCAGCGCAAGCGAAGCUCUUGAUCGAAGCCCCGGUAAACGGCGGCCGUAACUAUAACGGUCCUAAGGUAGCGAAAUUCCUUGUCGGGUAAGUUCCGACCUGCACGAAUGGCGUAAUGAUGGCCAGGCUGUCUCCACCCGAGACUCAGUGAAAUUGAACUCGCUGUGAAGAUGCAGUGUACCCGCGGCAAGACGGAAAGACCCCGUGAACCUUUACUAUAGCUUGACACUGAACAUUGAGCCUUGAUGUGUAGGAUAGGUGGGAGGCUUAGAAGUGUGGACGCCAGUCUGCAUGGAGCCGACCUUGAAAUACCACCCUUUAAUGUUUGAUGUUCUAACGUUGACCCGUAAUCCGGGUUGCGGACAGUGUCUGGUGGGUAGUUUGACUGGGGCGGUCUCCUCCUAAAGAGUAACGGAGGAGCACGAAGGUUGGCUAAUCCUGGUCGGACAUCAGGAGGUUAGUGCAAUGGCAUAAGCCAGCUUGACUGCGAGCGUGACGGCGCGAGCAGGUGCGAAAGCAGGUCAUAGUGAUCCGGUGGUUCUGAAUGGAAGGGCCAUCGCUCAACGGAUAAAAGGUACUCCGGGGAUAACAGGCUGAUACCGCCCAAGAGUUCAUAUCGACGGCGGUGUUUGGCACCUCGAUGUCGGCUCAUCACAUCCUGGGGCUGAAGUAGGUCCCAAGGGUAUGGCUGUUCGCCAUUUAAAGUGGUACGCGAGCUGGGUUUAGAACGUCGUGAGACAGUUCGGUCCCUAUCUGCCGUGGGCGCUGGAGAACUGAGGGGGGCUGCUCCUAGUACGAGAGGACCGGAGUGGACGCAUCACUGGUGUUCGGGUUGUCAUGCCAAUGGCACUGCCCGGUAGCUAAAUGCGGAAGAGAUAAGUGCUGAAAGCAUCUAAGCACGAAACUUGCCCCGAGAUGAGUUCUCCCUGACUCCUUGAGAG